UUCCUCUUUCAAGAAAUGUGCUGCCAAGAGAAGGGGCAGAGAGAGGAUGGUGCCUUGAGAUCUGAGCCUAUGGUGAGGGAGCAAAGGAGAGGGGAGGGUACCCUUCAGAAGGGCAUAAGCGCUGUAACAGCGUCCACAGGAGGUGGACAGGGCAAGGUCAGGAGCACUGGGGGCGGGACCUCGACACGAAGACACGCUCACUUCAGAGACGGGGUUUCACCAUGUUGCCCAGGCUCAUCUCGAACUCAUGACCUUGUGUGUGUGUGUGUCUGUGUGUGUGUCUGUCUCUGUGUGCGUGUGUGUGUCUAUUGUCCCUGAGCUCAGCAGUAUCCUGGGUCCUGGCCAUAGACCUGUAGAUGAGACAGGCUACAGACAAGGCAGGGAUACUGGUGCAUUAUCCGGAGGGAGCUCGGGGGGCCCAGGAGGUCAAGAUAGAGAAGUCCCUGAGCACUGAGUCUGGGGAUCACCCUGGGCACCGAGGGGGUAAGUGCGGAUCUACGUUCAGCAGGUAGCUGUGUCCACAGCUCCAUUCCGCCCCCACCCUCCUCCUUGCCCUCCCUCUGCCCAGAGGGAGGAAACUGGCAGUGAAUUCCAGAGAGGACUGGAGAGGGCUGCCCGAGCUUGCCCAUCUUACCAGACAGGGCUAUGUCUAAGGUGUGAGUGCUGUGGACCUGGCCAUAGGCCACUUUCGAAGGAGCUCACCCGUGACUCAGCUUGG
rnacentral:lncRNA from 10 species